GGCACCGCUACUGUUAAACGGCUGCAUCUUGCGACUGAGACAACAACAAGUGCAAAGACGCGACGAGCUAAAAUGUUCGAAGGCAACUAAAAGCAGCAAACGGAAAUACUUUGCCGCCGACCGGCAAACAAUCGCAUCAGAAAAAAAAAAAAAAAACAAAAGCAGAGAA